ACACAGAGCUUCAACCCAGGAACUGCAACAUCAUGAUGUGAGCUGAAACCAAGAGUCGGAUGCUCAACUGACUGAGCCAUCCAGGCGCCCCGGAAAAAGUGUUGCUUAAUAAGGAUCUUUGGAAAGGAGGGCAACUGCCUUCUACCCAAUAUCUCCUGUGUUCUAGGAGCUUUACCCGUGCGAUCCGUCGGUGUUAACAUCGACACUAUGAAGUUACCCUCAGAAAGGUCAGUGGGGUGGGCAGAGGGAGUCUGAGGUGUGCAUUACCAGCCUGACAGUUUCCGCCGCCCUUGGUGAAGACCCCACGCAGGCGGCUGGUGCGACUGUGCUCUGAUUACCUUUAAUUCUUAUUAGUGAAGAAACACCUCUCCUUCUAGGAUCCCCUGUAAAAACCUGGGGAGAAGUAGCCAUUGAGAGGGGCCAUGGACGUGCCACCUCCCCCUCCCGCCAUAUUUGCUGAGUACCUCCUGGGUGACAGAUAGCAGGUGGCAUCCUUCUCUUCAUUCUCAAGCUGACAAGGCAGUGAUGUCCUUAUGUUACGGAUAAGAAAAUGAGGCUCAUAGAUGACAUUUUCCAAGGUCACAUCUCAAUCUGGGUCUCCACAGCGGUGGGUGUAGACUUCAUGUGUGUCUCCUCCAUUACACCUUGAACGAUCGAUAGGAGGAAGCAGCCUUUCACCUCCGGAUCCCCAGGGCUCGCCAGAGUCGGUGCAGGGACCCCGACAACGUGCUCCCAGCCACACACACAAGCAACAAGAGGCAACUUUUGUCAGACACAUAAUUGGGCCCUGGGCUGCCAAUAACUUUUGUAGUCUUCUCCCCCCCUGAUUUUGGGUGGUGUCCACUGUUUAGCUUUAACUGUGUCUUCCUUGCAAAGAAGGUGGUAUUAUCACCUCCGUUUUUGCAAACGUAGAGACCGGGAGUCCAAGAGUUAACAGGCCUGCCUCAGUUCACAGGGCUCGCUAAGGGGCAGACAGGGAAUUGAACCCACAACUUCUGAUCUGUAACCGUAAGCCAUGUACACAUGUUUCAUGCUGUUACCAAGAUGAAUAGGACCCCGUCUGCACCUUCAGCAGACUCUGUUCUCAGAGAGGUGAUCUCAGAAGACGACCUGAGGGAUAUGCACACCUCUUUCUGUUGCUCGUGGUGUGUCUGCAAUGGCCAAAGAGUCUGCACUUUUACAUGAGUCAACUCCUUGCUUGGGGGAAGAAAACCAGUAGGUAUGAGAAAUCGGUUAAGUCAUCAAGAGGCUGACUGCUUCUUUUAUGGUCAAUGGUUUCGAGCCUGUUUGUUUAUGUAUAUUUUUUUCACCAUCUCAGUAAAAAUAAAAAAGAAGAAGAAGAAGCUGGGGAUCUUCAGGGAUGGUCCUGAAGAUCCUUCCUCGGUGUGAUAUCUUGGACAGGGACCCAGCGUGCUAUCACCAGCAGGGGGUAGGUAGGAAUGAAGCAGUAAAAAAUGCCAGUGUGGAUCAUUGCCAUAAUUACUUUCUGGAAACAACAAAUUUAAUUCCCAGUAAAAUGCCAUGAGAAUUUGCCAGGUCCUCUGAUGGGGAAAAUAAAAUGCCCUUCCUAGAAAUUUCUCAUGCUCUGUGGUUUCUAGAGAGAUUCCAAAGACUGCAGACAAAGAUAAUGUGGUGAUAUGGUUUUGGAACCUAUGUGAAUUUCCCUGCUUCAUCACGUGCCUGUGAACUCUUCUUAGACGACAGACUGCUAAGCCCAAGCUGGAUUUUUCCUCUAAUUCCUUUGAGAACAAUGCCUGUAGGGUCACUCAUCCUGGGCUUAGGUCUGUCACUUCUCUAAGGUCACAAAGGCCUGAUUAUGUUGUCUCUAAAAUGGGGCUACUUCUAGAACUUUCCUCAUAGGUUUGUCGGGAGAUUUAUAUCCGUUGCUCCAGGUUAAGCACUCAGCCUUGUGUCUGGUCCACGAAAGGUUAGCAGCGAUUGUGAUUGUAAACAUACACAGUUUCUUUUCUGCUUUAAGUGGGUGUCUUGGCACUGAGCUGUUUUCCUUAAAUGACUCUUCGUUUUUCCGUACUGAAUCGAUUGACUUGCUGUGAGUCGAGAAUACUUUCCAAAGGCUCUUAUGUACACCCACAAAGCCCAGCAAUGGCUCGAGAGUAUUUUCUACCACUGGUUAAAUGCCCAUGGCCCUGAACUUUGUGGGGACGGGAUCGGCAAGAUGGGCGAGGGGGUGUUGAAGUGUCCGGCGAGAAGACUCAACUCCUUUCUUGUGAUAAUUGAAAUCAUUUCAAUUCAUUUCCUUCUUGGUUGGACAGAAAUAUGUUUUCAACAGUGAACAAAUCUUGAGGGAAUCCAUUGACCUGAGCAGUCAUAUAAUGCAUGAAGUUAAUGGACAAAAGUGAUAUUCAUCUUCCGUUUAUAAUAGCAUUUUCUUCCGCGGCACCUAAACUUAGGGGCAGCCGGGGAUGCUAUCAGAGCAACGACGGUGCCACAGGCGGAUGUAUGACCUUUGUUGUAUCUAACAAUUAUUGGAUCUAUGGUGAAAUAAAAUAAAAACCAACACAAGUUUUGACACUAAGAUAAUAAAUUAUAAAUUAUGGGAGUCUACGCCACCGAGGAUCUUGUAAACAACAGGCUGGUCUCUUAGCAACAGACCAAGGAGAGAGCAGGUUGUUGAUUGGAAUGGAGCAGACGAGAGUGUUUUGCGGUGAUUGCUAUGGAGGACCAGGGACAACAUUUUAACACCUGCCUGAGGCCUCUUCUCUGCCCAGCCCUUCUUUCUCCAGCGGCCAGCCUGGGCCACGGGCCAAAAGGUGUCCCAGGACUUAGGAGCCUCCUCACCCACAACCCAUGUGCCCGGCUCCACAUAGAGGACAAAGGAAAUGCAGGCGGUGGGAGUCAGGGGUGGGGUGAGGCUACCCCCCUGCACACGCCAGAAUUAGACAGGGGGAGAGGGAAUCAGUAAAUGCAUCCUCAUUUGGCGUUGUCUGAAAUUAUAACUCUAAACGGGGGACUCCUUUUUUUCCCCCUGCCCCCAGCUCCCUUUGGCUUUCAAAAUCUCACUUAGGGUGGUUGUCAUGAAGGAAUUUAGACAAGACUUUGACAAUGUGCCAAAAUGGUUUAUUUUUAAAUGUUGUUCCCGAAAGCACCGGAAUAUUCAGUUGGAGCAAAUGUUGCCUGAAAGAGUAGAGGGGCUGUGGUCGCACAGACAUUGUAGGGAGGGGGGGAGUUUAAGGUUUGUAGACUUUAAUUAACGCAGGCAGUGGGGCUGGAGGACCCGGUGGCCUGGAAGCAUUUUUAAACGUGUGUGUGUGUGUGUGUGUGUGUGCGCGCGCGUGUGUGUGUGUGUGUCUCAAUUGCAGGAUAUUUUCAGGGCUGGGGUGGAGAGAGAGGUUUUCUUUAAUUAAUUAGCUGUUUACCUUGACUGUCUUCCCUCAGUGGUUUAGACAGUCACCUGCCCACAUGUUAGGAAUGAGCCUCUUGGAGUGGAAUUUUCCUAGAAAAACCCUAGGAUUCUUUGCAGUAGCAAAUGACCUCUCACUCUGUGAUGGAAACCGUGCGUCCUGUGGAAUCCCAACCACUAGGCGAGCGCCGUGCAGCGCCGACUUUGGACGUUAAGCAAAUAUUAGCCUCCUAAUUGUACGUGGGCCAAAUGACCUGCAUCACCCUCCAUAGCACUGACUUUAUGCAUCUUAUUGUCUCAUAAUAAAGGUGGCUGGCUAAAUUA